rnacentral:sRNA from 1 species
AUACCGACAGACCGACUGACUGAGACGGAC